GGAUGAGAGGGCAAUCUGGCUGCGAAGUCUGUCACCCCAUUGAUCGCCAGGGUUGAUUUGGCUGAUCUGGCUGGCUAAGCGGAUGUCCUCUUCCUCCCUUACAGCUCCAUGUGCGUCCCCCUCAAAGCUGCAUGCUCUGAUGAAGAGGAUGACUUUCCCCGAUGAGAGGACCGUCCUCGAUGAAGGGUAGACGAGUAGCUGUGCUCCCCUGCUAACAUCUCCAUUUGGAAUCUGGUUUCUUGUAUUUAGCAAUAUGAUUGUAGAUGCCUAAAUAGCUCAUUUCUCUUUAUC
rnacentral:snRNA from 1 species